CAUGACCUCCAAUGGAAGGCGUUAAUUGGCUGCAUACUGCUGUCAAUCAUUAAUGCACCCGCCCUUUAACUGACCAACGUUAAAAAAACAGUGGAGACUCUAGCAAGAGUAUCGGUUGUUACGAAGGGUUUUCAAAGAAUCGCUGCGGCCACGGAAAGCACGUCCGGCCUCGCAGUUUUGCACAGGAGAAGUUCGCGCCGCUGUCACCGAGCCAAGCUGGUAGCGCAGCAGCAAGGACAGAGGAAGGUCGCGGGAGGAAUCAGUCGGGAGAUGUGACCUGUGGACAGUUUGAAUAACCACAUUUGACCUCUUAACUCAGACCUCGCCGAUAGAAGCUCGACUGCAUCAACGGAUGAGUGCAACAAGUUGGACGAAGGUUAGGGGUGAAACGUGACAAACAAAAGCAAAGCACUCCAGUGUCCUGGGUCCUGCUGCAGGAAAUCGUUGCCAGCUGUUUCCACAUCCUCCUCCUCCUCCCCUUUCUGCUGUGCUGCAGCUCCAGUCCACUCCCUCCGACAUGUGGUCACUGCCUCAGGACGUGGACGGGGCGACUGACCCCCCCUCAGGCUGGAGGAAUGGUCUUCACUCCGCAGUGCCGGAGCGGGGGCUUCCCUUUGGUCAGAUGGGAGGCAGGGAGGGAGGGAGGGGAGGGCGGCUGUGAUACAAUCAGCCUCAUUAACAUCUUGUAUGGCCCUCCAGGGUUAUGGAGACAACCUGGCCAGCUGAAUGAAUGAAGUCAAUCUAGCCGGUUUAUUCACUGGUGCUGCUCCGCAAGCGAGCGUACCAAUAAUUACCCAAUCCACCAGACAGUUUAUUAUCUCGCUUUUCUGACGGCCUGUUUAAUCACUCAACUUCCAGCUAAUUCAGACACCUGGCGAAUCCUGACAAAGAGGAGAAUUAACCAAAGCGAAUAAAGACUCUUUUGCACUUUGAUUGUGAUGCAUAAAACCUGAUGCUUAAGAGUGUGCGAAUAGGCAAAGCUUAUAUAAAGACACUCUGAGCUUGUCGGACGCUGAGAGUCCAUUAGGCAGCGCCAUCUAUAAUUCACCCACCUCUUGCUUACUGGGUCAUUUCAGCGAGGCUUUUUUAAGCUGCUACAGGAGGACGGCCGUGCUUUUUAAACAGACAGCUCGUACGAUCAAAAAGACUCCUCCUUUUUUUUUGUUUUUCGCCCGCUGUCGCGCACACGAUCCCGUUUUUCACGCGGACGCUGAUCAGACAUGGCUCAGUAAAUAAGGCCACAAAGGCAAUAUUUCAGGUUCUGCCGCUGAUGCUCAGCCCGGCCGCGCUGUGGCUAAUGCUGUUUGGUGCGUGGCUCCGUGUAUCACUCAUGCCCUAUUUGGCUUGUGUCCGCCUGUUGUCCUGCGCGCGUCUCGGAGCGCGCGUGUGCGUUUGUUGUCCACGGGCAACUGUUCAGUAAAUAGGGCAAUUAAGUGUGAAAAGCAGAAAGGAGCGAGCAUGUUCCUAUCUCUUUGGUGGGGGAGAUAAUUUAUGCUAAUAACAUCUCUACAGCUCAAGCUGCCCAAAAAUGAUAGCAGACCCUUUUGGCUUCAGAAGAAUCUUUUCAUCCUCUUGGAAAAAAAAAAAAUCUGGUUUCUCAACACCUUGCAAAUAAGACAGCUGUGUGGCAGUGAAUGAAUCUCCCUCCCUCCACUCUGCCUUUCAUCUCCAGAUGAUAAUCUUUUCUCCUUCACUGUCUUGUAUGGUGCAUGUUUGUUCUUCCUUUGGCCUGUGGAAUACUUCAAACCCAGUUUCCCCGUCUCCCCCAUUUGCUCUCUCACAGCCUCACCCCCUGCACAAUCUAUCAUCA